ensembl:lncRNA DIO3OS DIO3 opposite strand upstream RNA
GCAGCCCCGGCCGCUGGGCGCACCCGUCCCGUUCGUCCCCGGACGUUGCUCUCUACCCCGGGAACGUCGAGACUGGAGCGCCCGAACUGAGCCACCUUCGCGGACCCCGAGAGCGGCGGCGCGACUCACCGCGGAGGCGCCCGGACGCGUCAAGGCUGUCAUCUGUUCUGGGGAUCUGUUGCUGUUUCUUGGGCCCACAGAAUACACUCCACACCUCGGGACUCCAUAAUAUUGGACAAGGCUGGAAGGCCCAUUUGGCUCCUGCAGCCUCUUAUGCAGGAGGACCUCCUGAGGCUUCGGGCAGGAGCUGGUGCACACCUGGAGGAGAGUGCUGGUGAAUGGCAGGUGUGUGCCUCAGUGUCCUUGCUGCCAGGGUGUCAGCCCUGCUUCACCACUGGCCGUUUGUCUCUGUCCCCUCCACUGGCCUCUUGAAGCACAGAGACCCUCCGGGUACUUUCCUUCCUCUGGGCUUCCACUCAUGCUAUUCCCUGCUCCCUUUUUCUACCUGGAGACCCCCAUUCCUCCUCCUCCUCUGCUGCCCUCACCUCCACCUGGGCCCUCCCAGCUCCCGGGAGAUGGCUGAACCCCACUCCCCACCCGCUAGUCAUCCUCUUCAGCGGUCCUCCCAGAGCUGUCCUCAGCAUGGCAGCCUCCACAGCCCCUGGGUGUCACCCCCGGUUUCGUGUCUGCCUCGGACUCCAGACCUGCCCCUCCCAGGCUGGCCCAGAUGGAUCCUCUACAGUGACUAACCCAAACCAGCACCAGGCAGGGACCCAAUAAACCUUUGUGAAUGGA